GAUUUCCUGGGCAUGGCAACAGGCUGAGAGACAGGUAAGUCAGGAGGAGGAAUAUUAGGAUUAAAAGAAGGAGAAGCACUGGAAAGAGGUGAGGCAGGAGAAGAGAUAUCAUGAUUAGAAGAAGGAGAAUCACUGGAAGGAGGUAAGGUAAAAGUCUGUUCAAGAAUGUCAUCAGAGAAAGGAAUAGGUGGAGGAGGUGAAGAAGGUGGAGGUGCUGUUUUAAAAGGAAAAUGAGUUUCAUGGAAGACAACAUCUCUNNNN
rnacentral:lncRNA from 1 species